CACGGAGGGGGCUAGCGUUGUUCGGAAUUACUGGGCGUAAAGCGCGCGUAGGCGGACCUGCAAGUCGGGGGUGAAAGCCCGAGGCUCAACCUCGGAACUGCCUUCGAUACUGCGGGUCUCGAGUCCGGGAGAGGUGAGUGGAAUUCCUAGUGUAGAGGUGAAAUUCGUAGAUAUUAGGAAGAACACCAGUGGCGAAGGCGGCUCACUGGCCCGGUACUGACGCUGAGGCGCGAAAGCGUGGGGAGCAAACAGG
rnacentral:rRNA from 1 species